rnacentral:rRNA from 1 species
CAGUAGCCGCGGUAAUACGUAGGUGGCAAGCGUUGUCCGGAAUUAUUGGGCAUAAAGGGCUCGCAGGCGGUUUCUUAAGUCUGAUGUGAAAGCCCCCGGCUCAACCGGGGAGGGUCAUUGGAAACUGGGAAACUUGAGUGCAGAAGAGGAGAGUGGAAUUCCACGUGUAGCGGUGAAAUGCGUAGAGAUGUGGAGGAACACCAGUGGCGAAGGCGACUCUCUGGUCUGUAACUGGCGCUGAGGAGCGAAAGCGUGAGGAGCGAACAGGAUCAGAUACCCCUGUAGUCCCUGUCUCUUAUAC